rnacentral:misc_RNA from 1 species
GAUGAAGAACGUAGUGAAAUGCGAUAAGUAAUGUGAAUUGCAGAAUUCAGUGAAUCAUCGAAUCUUUGAACGCACCUUGCGCCCUUUGGCCAUUCCGAAGGGCAUGCCUGUUUGAGUAUCAUGAACACCUCAACUCUUCAUGGAUUUCCAUGAUGAGCUUGGACUUUGGGGGUCUUGCUGGCCUAUGGUCAGCUCCUCUAAAAUAAAUCAGCUUGCCAGUGUUUGGUGGGUAUCACAGGUGUGAUAACUAUCUACGCUUGUGGUUUUCCACCAGGUAACCUUCAGCAGUGGAGGUUCGCUGGAGCUCACAGAUGUGUCUCUCCUCAGUGAGGACAGCUCUUUGAAUGUUUGAUCUCAAAUCAGGUAGGACUACCCGCUGAACUUAAGCAUAUCAAUAAGCGGAGGA